AUGGAGAGUUUGAUCCUGGCUCAGGACGAACGCUGGCGGCGGGCUUAACACAUGCAAGUCGAAGGAGAAGGUGACUGCUUGCAGUCACUGGAGACUGGCGGACGGGUGAGUAACGCGUAGGAAUCUGCCUAGUAGUGGGGGAUAGCUCGGGGAAACUCGAAUUAAUACCGCAUACGACCUACGGGUGAAAGGG
rnacentral:rRNA from 1 species